GGAGAGAAAUAGAAAAAGUCCAUUCUAAGUCCAGCAAGCUGGGUGCCAGGCCUCCCUCAGCAAGACAGAGCUGACAGAUAACAUUUUCUUGACAUUUCCUGCCAG